rnacentral:rRNA from 1 species
UACGUAGGGCGCGAGCGUUGUUCGGAUUUACUGGGCGUAAAGCGCACGUAGGCGGAUCGUUAAGUCAGGGGUGAAAUCCUGGAGCUCAACUCCAGAACUGCCUUUGAUACUGGAGAGCUUGAGUCCGGAAGAGGUGAGUGGAACUGCGAGUGUAGAGGUGAAAUUCGUAGAUAUUCGCAAGAACACCAGUGGCGAAGGCGGCUCUCUGGGCCGUAC